rnacentral:rRNA from 1 species
AUGGCUCGUGCCGUUGGGCUGCGUGCCGUGUGGGUCCCGAUCGUUAUCGCCUUGUCUGUUCCACGUGCCCCAUGUGGUCGAUUUGCGUCGAUGAUUUCAGGCAAUUUUUGGUAUGUUGCACCUCUUAGCUUUAAAUGGUCACUGCUUUUGCCUUGUUUUCAGGCAAUUUUGGUGUGUCAUCUAUACCACCCUAUAUAUACUGAUAUGAAAAAGAAUUCAAAGCGGCAUAUUCAACUAAUCUUGACUAUUAAACUAGUCAAUCCAAUGGCCUUAGGCUACUUUCAAUGCAUUGGUGCUUAUAUGAGGUGCUGA